GAUGAACGCUGGCGGCGUGCCUAAUACAUGCAAGUCGAGCGAACAGACGAGGAGCUUGCUCCUCUGACGUUAGCGGCGGACGGGUGAGUAACACGUGGAUAACCUACCUAUAAGACUGGGAUAACUUCGGGAAACCGGAGCUAAUACCGGAUAACAUGUUGAACCGCAUGGUUCAACAGUGAAAGACGGUCUUGCUGUCACUUAUAGAUGGAUCCGCGCCGCAUUAGCUAGUUGGUAAGGUAACGGCUUACCAAGGCAACGAUGCGUAGCCGACCUGAGAGGGUGAUCGGCCACACUGGAACUGAGACACGGUCCAGACUCCUACGGGAGGCAGCAGUAGGGAAUCUUCCGCAAUGGGCGAAAUCCUGACGGAGCAACGCCGCGUGAGUGAAGAAGGUCUUCGGAUCGUAAAACUCUGUUAUUAGGGAAGAACAAAUGUGUAAGUAACUAUGCACGUCUUGACGGUACCCAAUCAGAAAGCCACGGCUAACUACGUG
rnacentral:rRNA from 1 species